rnacentral:lncRNA from 1 species
UUAUCACCAAGUCAGAGGCUACAUCGGCAGGUAUGUCUUCAACGGAUGUAACUCUUAUUAUUAAAUCUUCGACCAUGGAAUUAGUGAUGCAUCCUGCCAAGAAUAUAAACAAAGAUAAGAGGUAAGACAUCCAACCAGACAGUCUUCAACAAUUCCAAUUGUCUGAUACAUUGUCUUAAUGCACGUUCGGUUGAUGAAGGUAAUUCUGAGACUUGACCCAGCACCGCUAAACCUAAUUAUAUUUACAAUUUUGGCUGAUGCAAAUUAAACUUACAAAUAAUACUACCAUUUAUAUAAAGUUAAAUUGUUACCGACCUGACUCUUUAAGUAUAUCUAUAAUAAUAUCUCUCUGAUAUCUCAUGUGCUCUAGAAAACAUUCGGAACCCACAUUGCGCAGUAUCAGUGUUUGGUCGGCAAACGUUAAGUUAAGUUGUUGCAAUGAUUCUGGUAGCUUGUCUCUGUAUUCGUGUGCCAAUGUGAGUAGAUGGUGUGCGAGGUACAUACAGUUGUUGUGGAAUAAAGCUAAGAACAGUUGUAAUAUCCAGUGGCCAAUAGAUAUAUCUAGGACUUA